rnacentral:rRNA from 1 species
CAGUAGCCACGGGAAUACAGAGGUCCCGAGCGUUGUUCGGAUUCACUGGGCGUAAAGGGUGUGUAGGAGGUUGGAUAAGUCAGGUGUGAAAUCCCGCAGCUCAACUGCGGAACUGCCUUUGAUACUGGGUAUCUUGAGUAUGGAAGAGGUUAGUGGAAUUGCGAGUGUAGAGGUGAAAUUCGUAGAUAUUCGCAGGAACACCAGUGGCGAAGGCGGCUAACUGGUCCAUAACUGACGCUGAGGUGCGAAAGCGUGGGGAGCAAACAGGAUUAGAUACCCCUGUAGUCCCUGUCUCUUAUAC